UCCAAGAUCAUCCCCUGUUAUGCGUAUCUGCUAAACGUCCCACGAUGAAUCCAUCGUCCGCAGAUCAAGCAACUAGCCGUGAACAUCAACCGCGGAUUGGAUUAAGCCAAGUUUCACGGCAUUCCUCCCAUCCGGAUAGACUUCAUCGCCCAUGAAAUCCAACCCGUCCCAGCCCCCCUGUUCCGGAUCAACCUCAUCCAGCUUUCUCCCGCGAUACAUGCCAAGCAAACAAUCUUCUAAACCAUGUCACCUUCUUCCCAGAUUUUUUUCUUAGCCGUGGGCAAUAUUCUAACUUCUGGAUGAACUCCACCAUCUGCGAUUCAUCUUCAUAUCCCAGAUUUCUUCACAGCUCCCAGCCGAAUCUAGCAUCCUCAUCCUCUUCCCAUCGUCAUCUUCAACCGUGAACAGCAUCCCCUGCUCCCAGCUCAUCUUAUCUUCAUCCUCAUGCGAUUCAUCAUCCCCUAUUUCCAGCCAGUAAGCAUCCGAAUCAUCUGCGAUUUGGCUUCAUCUUCCCGAGCUUCACGGCGUUCAAAUGCAUCUUUCCCUGCUUUGAAACAGACCGUAUACAUCAUCCCCGUGUCCAGCUGCUCAACUCCAAGCAUCUCCCUGCAUCCACGUCAACAAUCUCCGCAUAGGCCUCUUCCAGAUCAUGCCCAGUGUCCGCAAGAAUCCAGAAGCUCGACUCCUUCAUUCCCUGGAUUGACAUCAACGGGAUAAGCUACAACACCACAAACACCCAGCCUUCUGCAACGAAUCCGCAGCCUUCAACGUCCGCAGCCAAGCUUCUUCAUAUCAAGAUCCGAACCACAGCAGCUCACGAAUCCCUGCAUGCAGCCAACGACUUCGAUCCAUCCUUAUCUUGAAGUGAAAUAGGAAAAGAAGAGAGAAGUUGCAGCCUAUAAAAGGACCAGACGUGAAACAGGGGAGGGCACUUCACU
rnacentral:lncRNA from 1 species